rnacentral:lncRNA from 1 species
AGUUUAGGGUAAAACCCCAUAAGUUUCAAAAGCCAAGUUGAGUGCGAAAAAAAAAAGAGAAAAGGAAAUAUACUUGAGGGUUCAAAAGAAGCACUGGCCAAAGAAAGGCACUCAGUUGAAAAACAAGAAUAACAAAGAAAAACCCGAGCUAUAUAAUUUUUUUUAUAUUAAUAGAGCAAAAUAAAUAAAAUGAACAAACAUAGUGAAAAUAAUAGUA